rnacentral:misc_RNA from 1 species
GAAAAACUUUGUCCAUCGGUGGGGCCUCUCCCUUCCUCAGGGAUUGGGGAGAUCACGCUCCGACACCCGAUCGGAACGGUUCAAGUCCCUUCCCGGGACGUCGAAGACCCAAGGUCGUCGAAAUCAUCCCGGGGAGACACCAAAAAAAAGUAGCCCCCUCGGCGAACUUGCAUCGAGGGAGGGAUCGAUUCGUCGAUCCUUCCGAGAAACGAGAAUAACCUAGUCGACUACUUUCGACGACGGAUACCUCGGUUCCCACGCCGAUGAAGAGCGCGGCGAAACGCGAUAUGUCGUGCGAAUCGCAGAAUUCGGCGAAUCACGCAAUCCUCGAACGCAUCCGGCGCUCUCGGGUCUUCCCGGGAGCAUGCCCGUCUGAGCGUCGUUCCCACGUAUCCCUCCCGGAGAUCGUCCGAAAGGCGACCCCACCGGUAGGGUGAUCGGGAGUCUGCGUUUACUCGCAGUCUCCUGGGAACGAGGCGCACCCCCUACUACCCCCGUCCGACUACGAGGGACUCGGUGCCUAUCUUCCGUCGAGAGCGCCCUUCGGGUGCAAACUCACAUCGGGAGUGCACGGCCCGUAUCCAUCCAAACUCCGGUCGAUCUCGGGAUCAGGUGUAAGGGUGUACAGACGCCGUCCGUGGUCCGUGAGACCAGGGUCGGAGGAACUAAAAAAUCUCCCUUUUUAACACGACCUAGAAUCGGGAAGAAUACCCGUGAACUAAGCAUAU